rnacentral:rRNA from 1 species
AACGAACGCUGGCGGCAUGCCUAACACAUGCAAGUCGAACGAAGCCUUCGGGCUUAGUGGCGCACGGGUGCGUAAACACGUGGGAAUCUGCCCCUUUGGUUCGGAACUAACAGUUAGAAAUGACUGCUAAUACCGGAUAAUGACGUAAGUCCAAAGAUUUAUCGCCGAAGGAUGGGCCCGCGUAGGAUUAGGUAGUUGGUGGGGUAAUGGCCCACCAAGCCGACGAUCCUUAGCUGGUCUGAGAGGAUGAUCAGCCACACUGGGACUGAGACACGGCCCAAGACUCCUACGGGAGGCAGCAGUGGGGAAUAUUGGACAAUGGGCGAAAGCCCUGAUCCAGCAAUGCCGCGUGAGUGAUGAAGGCCUUAGGGUUGUAAAGCUCUUUUACCAGGGAUGAUAAUGACAGUACCUGGAGAAUAAGCUCCGGCUAACUCCGUG